GGCUUUUGGCCAUUUCUUUGUUGUUCUGAGGUGGGAAGGUUUUAGGGUUUUGCUUGCACAUGUACAGCUUCUACCCAUUGUCACCCAUUGCAGUCCACUCUUCUCCUGGCGAAUCAGCCCCUGCUAAUAGGUUUUGUCUGUCUCCACAGUUUCCAAUGCACGGACCGUGUCUCAUCCACACCUCGUUUUCCACCUUGAAAAUGUCCACCACUGACGAUUCUCACCACCGCUAAUCGCACCUGGGUGCUGGGCCCAUGCUUAGAUGAUUCCUCUUUGGAAAGGCCUUAGCAACAUCUCGGGGGUGGGGGACGGGCUGGGGACCUCCUGAGCUGGUGGUGUCCCCUGAUCUCUGGCCUGGGUGGCACCUUCACCGAGGCCGGUGGACUGGCCAGGCUCUGCUGUGAUCUGCGGGAGCCACUCGCCUUGUGUCCCUCAGCAGCUCUCGUGACUCAAUGUGUAUCUUUUAAACAGCUCAGCCCAAUAAACUGACAAUAUCACUGCAGACGCAGAGGAAAGGUACUGGGGGGGGAGGGACGUGCACCCCGAGCCUCAGUUUACCAGCUGUAGAACAAGAUGUCUGACUGCAAUGGUCAAAAGGUUCCUAGACAUGACCAAUCAAUCUCAGAGAUUCAGCGUGGCACGAUGGCCACCAUCCUGGCUGCCGCCACCCCAUUGCUCGCCCAUGAGUUAACCCUGGCUCACUCUGCACAAGUCAUUAGGUUGGAGUCGGCUGAGCAUUUCCAUGCUAGCCAGUGAACCCCAGAUGAACCCCAGGCUCCUCAUGACUGACGCUGGGCAGGUGAACAGCUCUGGGGAAAGUCCAGUUCCUUGGCACCUUCUAACCUUGGCAGCCAGUGACCCUCUAGCAAUAAUAAGCUUCCAAAGCUUCUCCUGGAUGUUACGUCUCAGGUGCUACCAGGACCCUCCCACGGUCCCUAGCCCGCCGAGGUUUAGCCAGCCCACUGCAGGGGCUUUUGAAAAGAUGGCGCCGCUUGUACUCAUUUCACCUGAGAGCUCUGGCCUUGUCACGGCACCCCACAAUGCCAAGGUGUACCGUGACCCCGCUCAGUCUUCAUCACCGGCAGCCCCCUCCCCUCUGGCUGGCUUCCCUCAGAGGGGGCCCAUUCCCCUGUGACAGCGGGACAAAGAGCCCAGUGUCCCCCAGAGCCACUGUGUUUGCUGGAGGAAAAGCCAGCCUGCCGUGGACUGUCUAUCCGGGCAUUUCGUCACUCUCCAUUCUUCUGGUUUCUGUCUGGGAAAUUCACCCUGCUAUGAACUUUUGACAGGAAGAAAUCUGCUUUAAACAGGGGAGAGCCUCCACAGUGAUGGACAAGUAGACCAGGUGGCUAUUCUUAAGAUGUCUGUCAUCCCAGCUACUCAGGAGGCUGAGAUCAGAGGAUUGAGGUUUGAAGCCAGCCAGGGCAGAGAAGAUUGUGAGAUGCUUAUUUCCAAUGAACCUGCCAAAAGCCGGACAUACAGGCAUGACACAAAGAAUAGAGGGCCAGCCAUGAGCAGAGAAGCCAAGCAAGAUCACAAGACCCCGAGUUCAAACCCCAGUGUCAGCACACACUCAAAGAAGAAAAAGAAAGGUAACAGGCCACUCUGUUGGCUGUAACCACCACAUUGCCUGCCCAUGAAUUAACCCUUACAUUCCCACACCUUUGAGAGCAUUGAUUGGGCACCCAUUGUCAUCCAUGGCGCCCUGGCGUAAGGGUUAUGAAGAUCUCUCUUCCCUGCCUAUGAAGCGUUCAAAAUCUAGGGACCAAAAAGCUUCGCUAGUGAGUUGUGAGAUGCUCCCUGGGCCAUGUGCCAAUGAAGCAGCCCACCCCCUCCCUCACGGGAGUGAUGGAGGAGGCCUUCUUGGAGUGGUACCUGGGUCCUGUCUCACAGGGGCAGGUGCUGAGGGGGCCCUGCCAACUUCGCCCUGACAUCUGUCUCAGGCUUAGUGGCCCCAGCUUUGCCCCUAGCCUCAACUUCCCUUCAUUCUCGGUCCUGGUGGAUUUGCAGGGCAAUGCCAUGCAUCAGGGUUUCGAUUAGCUGACCCCUGUCCUGAAAACAGGUUGCUUGAGGAAGGCUGGCAGCCCCACACGCUGCACACACUCCAGAUCCGGUCUCCUGGGCUGCAGGAAGCCCUUUCUUGCUCAACCCAAACAAAUCUCCCCUUCCCUCCAGGUACAUGCUGCCUUUGAAGUCCUCUGAAAAGGAUUCAAGGUGUAGCUUUACUUUGGCACAAUGCCUUAAUUCAUGUUAAGACUUUUUUUCCCCUUCCACCAUGAUACACCCUUCCUGCAUAUAACUUGAUUAAAGUCAUGUGUGACAAGGAA